GCCCAAAAGGAAACACAUGUAAAGUUGGAGCCAAACAAAGUGUUGUUACUGAGGAGAUUAGAACUCUUAAAAAUGAACUAAGUACUUUGCACAUGGACAAGAAGAAAAAUAUCUUCAGGUCAUCUCAAAGAUAGCAAAUCCCCAGCCAUCAGAGAUUCAAUGAUCCAAAAAUGUUGAGCUUUCGUUUGAGAAGAGUAAACCUUGGAACCCUUCUUGAGAACAGCCUAGUAGGGGAAUUGGUCCUCCAGGAUUCAUUUCACAGAGAAGCCAUGGCAGCUGUGGUCAAAGGGACCUGCAUGUUACUCUGGCUGGCAGAAGAUCUUGGCAUUGUCCAUGUGAUGCUGGUUUUAUCAGCGUGCAGCAUGUAAGAGUUGUGGGAUCAAAGAGGCUCCAACCAGAUUCCAAAGGAAGCCCUAAAAGGACUGGCAUGGAGCCCCUGAAAGAGAAGUGCCUGAAACAGGGAGAAUGAAGCCAAAAAUAUGGUAGAGACUUCAGGAAACUGGAGCUACUAGGGACAUGGAAAGUCUGAGGAGUGACAAUGCAGACCACAAAUGGAGUCAGUCUAAGAGAGAGGCCAUGUGAGCUGCAGCCAUCAAGACCACCGGGGUAAGGUCGUCCGAUAUCUCACGAUUUUGAGCUUCAAACAUUGCAGAUGGAUAAUGUUUGCCCUGGUCAGUCUGAUGUUCACUGCCAAGAGUUUGCCCUGGGUCUCAGAAGAGACUUGGACUUGGACUUUUAAGUAAUGCUGGAACUGCUGAGACUUUGGGGAGAGAAUGACUACAUUUCUGUCUGUAUGCAGUUGUAUCAUGUUGGAUGGAAUUACAAACUUGCUGUUGUCUUUAUUUGGAGGUUAAGCAUGGUUGGAGAUGUUGUCUGGCUUUCUAGUUGACAAGGAUUGUAACACUAAUUAUUAUAUGGCAAUUUGACCAGGGCAGGAGGCUGAGGAGGAUCGCUGCAAAUUUGAGGCCAGCCUGGGCUACAAAAUGAGUGUACUGCUACCCUCAUCUCCAUAGUGAAACAUUGUCUCAAACAAAAUAAAACAAAAACAAAAAUAAAAACAAAAACAAAGAAUUUCCCAGGGGAUUAGUCAAGUACAUUUUCGAGUAUGUCUGGUGGGUCAUGAGAUCAUGAUCUUGGGUACUAUAUUUAAUUCCUGGCUGUUUCCUCCCUGAGAUGGUUUCUGUUGCUCUGUCAACAACUAAAUAUCUUUGCUUUGCCAAAGCCUCUCCCCAUGACACCACUGCUUCAGAGUGAGCCAGUAGUGAAACCUCUGAGACCAUGAGCCAAACAAACCUCUCCAUGAAGCAGUAGGAGUUGCAUAUCUGGUUCCAGCAUGGGAGAGCAGACCUGUACCGGCAGUUGGGUGAGUGGAAGCAGGGAUACAGUUGAGGGCAAAUCCAGAAUGUCAAGAGAGGGUGCCGGGCUAUGAAAAACUGGUGCUGUCCUUUGUAAUGCUUCCUUGACUGCAAACUUCUUGGUGUGUCCUGCCUUGGGUCAUGGCUCUCUUUUCUUAUAUCCAAUACAGAUUCUGUCCUUUUCUUUCUCUUGUUCCACAUCAGGUUGAUGAUGCCCAUAGAGAAGCUUGAGCAGUAUCCAGAGAAAGCAGAUGUGGGAUGGAGAGCUUAGGGGAGGUGACAGGUGCUCUUUCUCCUGGACACAUUUUAAGUGGUCCAAAUUCUUUUUUUGCUUUUCUUCACUGUCAGAGACAUAAGAUCUUCAAGAUUUAAAUUUUAAGUGAAAAAGAAAAAAAGGCCAGAGUGGUUCUUUAAUCUGCUUUAAAUCUAAUAAGCAAAAGUAAUUCUCCUGUUCACAUAGGAUGUUGGGCCACUGAUCUGAGUGAAGCAUCCCAGAAAGGAGUUGAAGACCACACGCUACAGCAAUGACCACUACCAGAACUGCAGUCCACAGCUCACAUAGAUCUUGAAGGUUCAUGGUCCCUACUCUUUCUCCUUCCUUUAGGCACAGCUAAUAUGUCCCUAGUCCACUGAUAUCUGUAUUUUAACAGAUAAAUUUUUAUUUUAACAUUGUUCCUCCUCAAAAAAGUGGGAAUUUUAAAAAAGGAGCAAUUUCUAUUUUUGAUUCUUCCUUUCAUUUUUAUCACCACCUCAAAAACAAAAAAAAUUAAAUAAUACUUAAAAACUAAAAAGUAGGGAAGAGUCUGAGAAGAUGGCAAAACAGUAAAUAGCAGAGUAAACAGCCUCUCUGAAACGCCCAGAUGCUGGAUGUCUUCAUUGCUUUUUACUCAUCGCUGAGACAGAAAACCUGAAGCCCAAAGUUUGGAAGGGAAAGGUUUAUUUCUUACAGUUUUUGGAGGUUUCAGUCCAUACUCAGUUGGCUCCAAGGCAAGCUGGCAUGGCGGGCCGCAGUUCAUGGCGGCUGCAAACAGCAAGCAGAAACCGGCAAAAGAGCAAGACACACCUCCUUCUUGCUAUUACAUCACAUCCUGGCUCCACCCCUCUGUGGGUGUGGCACUGAUGCCAUCAAUCCAAGCAAUAGACAGUGAACCAAUCACAAAUGCACAAUGCAAACUCAUGAGGCCUGGGCACCACAGACAUAAACCAUGACACUGGAAUAAAGCAUUCUGGAGAAGACAAGAAGGAAAGAAGUGAGUUCCCUUAACCCAGGAAGAAACUACAGUGAGAACUGAAGCCACUUCAUUCAGCCACUCCUAGCACAGAGAAAAGAAAAAAUAAAAGAAAGAAAGAAAAGAAAAACUUAAACAGAAGGUGGUAACUGGUGGCAGUUUCACUAGAACCAGUCCCACUAUGAGAGAAGCACCGUUGGAAUCCAGAGAACUUACAGUCACAGUGAAUCUGGUGGCUGGCAAGCUAAAACGCUUCAGCAGGGAGACACAGUGGUGGAGGGGAGCAGCAGACCAGAGAACUGCACAAGCUGGUGGUGGGUGUGGGGGACUCAGUCCUCCUGCAGAAGCGGGUGAUUGGCUGGGCCCCAUUUUGGAGUUGGGCAGAAUAAGCCCGGAACCAGAAUUGCAGCCAGCUUCAUUCAGCCACUCCUAGCACAGAGCAGACUUUGGGAAAUUGCUUGGACUGAGUCACAUCACUGUGCAUCGUCCAUUAGCCCCCGUGAAGGUUUCCCUAAAGCUAUCCCUAACCAACCCUGCCCACCGGCACAUACUAACGUGGUGAAGACUCCCUGUGGUUAACCAGCUCAGAAGGGAAGGGCCAGCCUGAUUCACCCCUGCUUACACUCCAGUAGUCACCAGCAGAUUGGGAAAAGCAGCGCACAGCAGAAAUCCCUGGCCAACACACUUCAGAGUAAUUUUAAUAUAGGAAGUGCCAGGGAUCCCAUUACCCACUUGUCCAGAAGAAACCAAGUACAUGAAAAGAGGAAGAAACAAAAGGCAGUCUCUAGCCUCCAUUGCAAGCAGUCCUGGCCCAGGAGAUGUAAACAUAGAAGAGAUCGGGAGUUGCAUACCUGAAGUUUCUGAAGUAACAGCAACUGAAAUAAAGAAACAACUUCAUGAAGCUAUAAGAACAGAAAUACUAUUACAGGUAAAAGAAGAUAUAAGAAACAUAAUCAAACAAUUGCUAAGCACCCCUGAAGAAGACACAAAUGGAAGAACAGAGGAGCAUAGAAAAAGGAGGGAAACCUUCAAUGAAGAAUAUAAAAAAAUUUAGAAUACAUAAAACAGGUUCAAAGAGAUUACCAGAAAAUUAAAAACGCCAUUGAAAGCUGGCAAAACUGCUUGAAAGAAACUAAAGAUAGACUAUCGAACCUUGUAGACAGGUUUGCAGCUUGGAAUUGUGAAAGAAAAGAUCUCUUAAAAAUGACAAGGAAUCAGGAAGUAACAAUACAAAGGCUAGAAGAUGACAAGAGGAUCUAUAACUUAAGAAUUAAAAAUGUGAAUGAAGAAGCAGGGGUAAACACAUAGGAAAUAGAAAGGCUAUUCACAGAAGUAAGUAAGGAAAACUUCUCAAGCAUAAGAAAAGGAAAUAAUAUUCAGAUAAAAGAGGAAUACAGAACUCCAGCCAGCUAUAACCAAAAUAGAUCUAUACCCAGAGAUAUAAUAAUUAAGAUCCCAGAGAUUCAACACAAGAACAGAAUAUUAAAAGAUGUCAGAGAAGAGAAUCAGAUGAUCUAUAAAGGAAAACCAUCAGAAUCAUGACAGACUUCUCAACACAAACCAUAAAAUCAAGAAGAGCUUGGAGUGAAGUAUUCCAAGUUCUGAAAGAAAAUAAUCUCCAACCCAGAUGGAUGUACCCUGAAAAACUAUCUCUCAAAAUUAAUGGAGAAACAAGAUGCUUCUAUAACAAAGAGGAACUGGGGGAAUUCAUGACCAGUAAACCAAUCCUACAAAAUAUACUGAAGGACAUGCUAGAAAGAAAGAAAAAAGACCACGGUUUCAUGAACAGUGGCAGAGGGGGUUCACUGAACAGGGAAGACAGUGGACUGAAGGGGCAAAGUAGACAACCAGUGGUAGAAAAAUAGCAUGACAGAGAUGAGGCAGAGAAGGUUGGCCAUAAUCACUAAUAUAGAUGGCCUCGAUACACCAAUAAAAAGACACCCAGGCAGAGUGGAUCAGAAGAUAGGGUCCAUCAAAGUGCUCUAUAUUAGAAAUAUAUUUAACCUGAGAGAGGGUUUAUACACUGAAAGUCAAAGAUGAGAAAGCAAUGCUCUAUGGGACAGGGAACCAGAAAAAAAGUGGGAGUAGCUUGACUAUCAGCUGUAGAUUGGUUGGAAAGCCAUGACGCUUUUAUUCAAUGGAAAACUGCUCAGUUAUAAAGAAAGAAAACCUUGAGGCUCUUGUAGGUAAACGGAUACAACUUGAGAUAAUGCUCAGGUGUAAAAAGGUUCAGAAUUACUUAGGAGAAUAGCAGGUUGUCUCUCUAAUUUAAAACUAAAGGAGUUAGUGAGAGAAUGUACAAUGCACCCUGUGAACAUGAAAGGGGAGGAAUUGCCUAAAUAGGGAAGGCAGUGGCCAUGGUUAAUCUUGUAUCAUGAUUUGAAACCCAUAUUGUUUUCAUGGCUCUGUUUAGUUUGAUCUUAUUCUGUUCCAGUUUGUCUACUUGUACUAGAUUUGAUGGCACGGACAGCUAUUCCAAAGAUAGCAGGAUAUAUUAUGGUAAUCAUGUUUAAUAUCCUAUUAACUUGAUUUAAAGCCUUGUAUUGGUUUCACUGUCUUGUUUUGACUGGUUUUAUUUGAAUCUGUUUUAUUUGAUAGUAUCAAGUCUGAGGGUACAGGCAACUACUUUGAAGACAGUAAGAUUCACUAUGAUACCCAUUCUGGUUUGACUAUUAUCUUUUUUGAAGUUCUUCAAUGUCUCCAAUGUUUUGUUUUUAUUGGUUUUGUUCUGUACUAUUGUGUUCAAUUUUAUUAUGCCUGAUGAUAUGGGCAAUUCCUUUGAAGAUAACAAGAGGCAUUAUGAUAACCAUUGUUGAUUACCUUGUAUUUGUUCUUAAGUCAUGUACUAUGUCCAUCCUUUUAUUUUGACUGACUCUAUUUUGUUUUGUCUCAUUUGGUUUUAUUCUCUUCAAAAAAAACCUAACAAGUAAGGAUUUCAGGUAAGUAGUGCUAAGAUUUGAGAAUCAAAGGCUUUUCAAACUCUCAAAUUGCAUCACUUUGGUGCUUCUCACCAUAUGUCAUGGUUUAUGCUGGUGGCCCCCAGGCCUCAUGCUUUGCAUUAUGCAUUUGUGAUUGGUUCACUGUAUAGUGCAUGGAUUGAUGGUGUCAGUGCUACACCCACCUAGGGGUGGAGCCAGGAUGUGAUGUAAUGGCAGGAAGAAGAUGUGUCUUGCUCUCUUGAUGGUUUCUGCCUUGCUGUUUGCAGCUGCCAUGAACUGUGGCCAUGCCAUGCCACCCCGCCUUGGAGCCAACUGAGUAUGGACUGAAACCUCCAAAAACUGUAAGAAAUAAAUCUUUCCUUUCCCAACUUUGGGCUUCAGGUGUUUUGUCUCAGCAGUGAGUAAAAAGUAACUAAGACACCAUAUUGACAAAUAAUCACACCUAGAAGGACAUCCUUUAAGACUGUGUCCACUGUGCCCCAAAUUCUGCAAGCAACAAGUUCAGGCGGGAUUAGUCAGAAGAAGUGGCGGUGAUCACCAGUGGAAACUCUCUUUCCUGCUAAAACAGUGGAUUAACAACAUGUGCUACAUGGGUUGGGAAGAUGACUGAAUUAGUUAGCUUAGAAUUAAAUCACAAUUCACUCUUGCUUCUCACAGGGGUAGGAGAGACGAGAAACAAAGCAGUGAAGGAACAAACCUGUACCUGGUGGCUUAAUUAACUCAUACUCAUUUCCAAGCUGUAACUCAUAGUCUGUAUUCUUUCAAUAUGUUCGUGACAUCUUAGGUGUUCUCCAAGGAACAAAACCAUUGUAUGGAAGAAUUGUUAUAUGACACAGGGCUGCUAUUUCCACUACUGUGGAGCCUGCCAGAAUGGGCUCGGAUCUAUGACUUAAUGUAGCACAGAACAGAAAGGAAGGAGUUGAGCUUGGAGAGUAAAGAAUGAAUGCACAGUCUGAGGGAAAAAGAGAUCUUAUUGGAUAAGAAAGAUGAGUGAACACCAGCAUUUGGUGCUGCAGGUGAGCAGAACAGAGGUAACUGCAUGACUGGAGUUGGUGGUGAAGAGAGCACGAAUUUACAAACCAGCUACUGUGUUCCUGAGGGUUUGCACAUUUGCAAACAUGACAGAUGCGCAGAAGGGCCAGGAGCCCCCAGGUAGAGCUUUUAAGAUUAUCGUGUGAAUCCACGAGGAGUGUCUUUGGAUGUGGACUCACUUGAGCUUAUUUCUUGCACCAAGGUUGAAAACGUUCAUGUAACUAUUGCUACACUGAAGAGGCAAGAGCAACUGCAGGAAUAUGCUGCAGUUUUUGUCUCGGGUUCUUCUGACUGGUUUUGCCUUUGCUCUCACCCUUUCUGAUUAUUCAAGCUUAUACUAUGCAUCACUGAGGAAACGGGAGCCCUAUAGGAGUCACAGCUUUCCCUGUCCACGUGUUACUAUGGAGCCUGUUUUGUGGGGAGAGAAGUGACAGGGUCCAGGUUCAAGGUGGAGAGUUCACAGCAGAACUGGAUGGGAGGCUUAGCACCAUGCCUGUGUGGGCAGCCUGCUGUUCUGGUUCCCACCUCCCUGGCUGCAGGAGAGGAGGCUGCCUCUUGUCUCCCUGCUGUGUCACUUAGCACCUUCCUCCCUGGCUUCCCUCAAAGCCACUGUGUGUUAAAAAGCUUCCCCUUGUCACUUAAUCUGUACCAGGGAAGGAGAGGACUGGCAUCCAUUCUUGGCCUCAGUUAUCUGGGGUUCUUUUUCCAGUGCAUCUCCAAGCAAGUGGCCUGUCCUGAUCCCUGAGGUCUCACCUUAGCCUCUGAAGUGAGUAUAGUGUGACUUUUUUUCAGUGUUCCCUGCCAUAUCUCAGGAAGGAACACAUACACAGAAAGAAACAGAGAGAGAGAGAGAGAGAGAGAGAGAGAGAGAGAGAGAGAGAGAGAGAGAAGAAAGAAAGAAAGAAAGAAAGAAAGAAAGAAAGAAAGAAAAAGCAAGGGAGCCAUGGUCAUUCUUGUGUUUACACAUGACCUCUCAAGCUGCUUGGAUUGGAUUGUUACUCCUGCUUAUUUGUUGAAAUUAAUAAAGAA